ACCCAAACCCAGGCGCUCCUCGGGCGGCCCCCGAGACCCCCCCCAGGAUCGGGGGGCUUCAGGAUUGCGGAGACCCUCUCGCACAAACACCAGCCACAAGUUUUAUUUUCCCUUCGCGCUGGAAGUUCUGUCUGGCUCUCGCUCCACACCGGCACGUCUUGCGCCGCUCCCCGCCCUUCCCCGGCAGAGGUACGAAUCCGUGCCCGGGAAAGGUUAUUUUGGAACUUGGAGAAACUGACUCGAUUCCAGUGGUGAGAAAGUGCCGAAGAAGGGGUUUCCGCGUUAAUCGUACGGCGUUUAAAAAAUAUAAUAAAAUGAGUUUAUAGGGGUCAAGGUCAAAUAAUUGGGGUUCAGAGCAAAUUUUUGUAUAUUGCGAGAAAUAGUUUUGGAGCGUCUCUGGGAUGGCUCGGAAGGGUGGUUAUUUCAGGAAACCCCUCUCCAACCCGUUCGUUAUAUAUUUUUAUUAAUUUUAUGCCGAGAUAGCAAAAUGCAUGGGAUUUAAAUAGCCGAGACCCCCCGACAUCUGGAGAGGUGAGUGAGGGUAGCGGGCUGCUUCAGACACACUCAGCCCCGCCACCUUAGGAGCAGUGUGGUACAGCACAGGUCCUGGCACACAAUAGGUGCUUAAUAAAUGCUGGUUUCAGCGCUUCAGGCACUGAAAACUCCAAAAGACGGUGUUUGUAGCUUCCCAGAGGCAUGGCACACUUCUCCAGCAGAUUCCAGGCUGGCCAGAUUCAGGCUGGAUUCAAUUUAUGGGGUAUUUAAAGCAAUAAGGAUACAAUUAUCCUUAUUGUUUUAAAUUAUUACAAUAAAUUGUGUUAAUAUGGCAUGAGGGGCAACAUAAAGUUGUGGUUCAUCAAAUACUCAGAUUAAUGUUAAGCAUGAAUUGAUGCCUAAUUAACACUUUUCCAUUAAUUUUCAUAGGAUUAGGGCACAAUGGAAUACACUCAACACCAAACCUGUACCAAAUCCACUGUGGGUCUUGGAAAAGUGGAAUAUUUGGAAAAUCCCAACACCAGCCACAGCCUUGGGAGGCACUUUAAAUCUCUGAACCACCAACCCAAGCGUUUUCCAUCACUCCAAGCUGCUUCCCAAAUCAUCUGGGGUCUCCUGUGUUGAAGAGCCCGUUGUUAUUACGGUUCCCUUUGGCUCCUCUAGGACAAAGAGGAAGAGCGGCGAAAGGUCAAGGGCAGGAAAAGUUUGAUCUGACAAUGGUGCUGCUGGAGCAGAUGCCUAGAGCUGACAAUUCUCUCGGGCUUCCAUGGGGCCCUCUGGGCUCCCCUCCUGGACCCUACAAUGGAAUCCAUUGACCCAGGUGGUAGGUCUGUAGACUAACUUCUCAUGAUCCCCCUCGGCUGGGUGCCUGACAGUAUUCCCUCCGCCUCUUCCUACUGAGAUCUCCUUGUUCCUUGCAGAGAUUGUGGGAUUGCUGGGUUGCCUUAUAAGAAACUAUCAAACAGUUUUCCACGGCAGCUGUGCCAUUUUGCAUUCCCACUGGCACCGUGUGAAAGGUCCAGCUGCCCCAAACCUUUUCAGCACUUGCUAUUAUCAAUUUUUAAAAAAAUCUUAGCUAUUUUAAUAGGUCUGUAGUGGUAUCUAAUAGUUUGAAUUUGCAUUUUCUUAAUAACUAAUGAUGCUGAGAAUCUUUUCGUGUGCUUAUUUGCCAUAUCGUCUUUGAUGAAGCAUUGAUUCAAAUCUUUGCCUAUUUUUUAAUUGGGUAGUUUAUUUUCUUUUUAUGGAGUUUUGAGAGCUCUUUAUAUAUUCUGGAUCAGAUAGGUGUUUUUCAACAUCUUCUCCAAGUCUGUGGCUUUUCGUUUUCUUAACAGUGUCUUUCAGAGAGUGGAAGUUUUCAAUUUUGAUGAAGUCUAAUACAUUAGUUUUUCUUUCAUGGAUCAACUUUUUAGUUUGGUAACUACAAAAUCUUUGCCAAACUCAAGAUCACAAUGAUUUCCUCUUACAUUUCCCUUAAGAAGUUUUACAGUAUUGGGCUUUACAUUGAUGUCUAUUACCCAUUUGGGGUUAAAUUUUGUAUAUGGUACAAGGUGCAGAUAAAGGUUCACUUUUGCAUAUAAACUUGUAAUUGUUUCAACAUCCUUAUUCUAAAACUAUCCUUUCUCCAUUGACUUGCCUGUACCUUUGUUGGAAAUCAACUAACUAUAUAGAUAUGGGUCUACCUCGCGACUGUUUGGUCUCAUUGAUCUGCGUAUAUCCUUUUGACAAAACCACACUGUCUUGGUUACACUAGCUUUAUAGUAAGCCUUGAAAUCAGAUAGUGAGUUCCCCAAUUUUGUUCUUCUUUUUUAAAAUUCU
rnacentral:lncRNA from 1 species